GUAGGUGCACUAUUUGACUAAAAUGUUUUUUUUUAGGUAAAUAUAAUUUUAUUGACUUAAUUAAGCAUGUAUAAUAACGUAUAUUAGACAUGUUUUAUGUUAUUAUAUAUUAGGCAAUGAAUUUAUAACAUCAAUACUUCCUUUUUUUGUAAAAUUAUUAAUUCUCCCUUACCAUCUAUCUGCAUGGCAUAUAGGGUUUAUAAAAAAAAAAAUCAAAUAGGGGUAUUUUAGGCAUCCGAAAUUUUUUAAUGUGUGAAGUCAAACAUCAUUAAUGAAUUUGCUGAUGUGGAAUCUAGUCAAUUAGUUUUAUCCAAGAGCCUAAUAAAAGCCUA
rnacentral:lncRNA from 1 species